rnacentral:lncRNA from 1 species
CUUCUGGGGAGAAGGAUUAUGAGUCAGUGCAUACUUCACCAAAUUCUAUAUUCCGUUGGCCAUGAUAGCCAUCAGUGUUGUGGCUAGUAAAUAGUGACGACUUCAUCAGCUUGGGUCCUGGAGUGAAAAUAAGGGGCCUCUGACCUGUGGUGAACAUGUAGUAGUUAUGUGAAGAUGUGAUGCCAAAGCUGUUGCAGCCAUCUUGUAGCCGUGAGGGGAUAAACCAACUGUGACUACCAGAUGAUGCAGAGGAAAGCCUAGUUCCUUUCUGUAAUUCUGCUGUAGAACCGAUCCUGGAACUGCCUGCCUCAGGACUUCUGGAAAGGUGAGAUAAUAAAUUUCUACUGUUUAAGUCAUUUUCAGUCAAAUGUUCUGUUACUCAGUUGCCAAAUUAACCAAAAUAUUAUGGGGGGUCAUUUUCUAGCCCUUAAACAUGGAGCUUUGUCCCACCUCCUUGUAAGGACUUUGAUCCCUAUGACCACGAUUCUCUUUCUCCAUCAGAACUCUCCCUUAUACUAACAAAUACGUUAGCCUGGAAAGUGUUGGAAUUUGGGGAUAUCCUGAGUUGGUAUCCCUAUUCCUCCACUUACUAGCUAUGAGACCUGGGACUAGUGACUUCACUACUCUGGGCUUUAUCUUUCUCAUCUGUAAGAUUUAGAUAAUACUAGCACUUAAACUUAGAGGCUGGUUGUGAGGCCAAUUGAGAUAAUACGUGUAAGUGCUUAACAUAGUGCCUGGUAAAUGGUAAGGAUUCAGUAGAUGUUAUGAAUUGCUAGCCUUUAAAAGCUAUUAAUCCCCUCUCUGGGGAUUAUUUAUUUAUUAGAGACAUAUAGAGGACCUUUGUUAUCUUUUGGCCACCAGGCAUCCAUUUAUCUUAUCAGGAAAUAGCCAUUUGAGACUCAAUCCUUCCUCCAUUCUUGGCCUCUUUGGCUCAAGUGGCACCCCACUCUACAACUCAGUUGAGAAAGCAUGCAACCCACGACUAAACCAUCAACCAUACCUCAUUUGACCCAUAUGACCAUGGCCGUAGUGAUUAUUCAGAUUCAGGCAUGCAAUGAAAUAAAACCCAAUGAGAUAUAAUGCCUGGGACAUCUUGGGAAGAUAGACUCUUUCCAACUGGUCUUGAACCUAAGAAGAUGAAGAAUUUGGAGCACUUGCCAUCAUGUUGCUAACAUGUUGCUCCAGUGGUUGAAACUAAUAAAGCGGAAGGCAGAACCAAGAAGCUGGGUCCUGCUGAUAUCAUUCAAACCCUGAAUCCAGCCAUGCUCUAAGCCUGCCCUGUUUCUGGACUCUGCAGGUAUGUGAACUACUAAAUUUUGCUUUUGUUUAACUCAGUUUGUUAGUUUUCUUUCAUUUGUGAUGAAAAGAACCCAAACUCAUACAAAAGUGAAGUUUUGUCCUAACUUAAAAUAUCCGGGGCCGGCCCAGUGGCGCAGCGCUUAAGUUCGCACAUUCCGCUUCUCAGCGGCCCGGGGUUCGCCGGUUCAGAUCCCGGGUGCAGACAUGGCACUGCUUGGCACGCCAUGCUGUGGUAGGCGUCCCACAUAUAAAGUAGAGGAAGAUGGGCACGAUGUUAGCUCAGGGCCAGGCUUCCUCAGCAAAAAGAGGAG